rnacentral:misc_RNA from 1 species
UCUCCGUUGGUGAACCAGCGGAGGGAUCAUUACCGAGUUUACAACUCCCAAACCCAAUGUGAACCAUACCAAACUGUUGCCUCGGCGGGGUCACGCCCCGGGUGCGUCGCAGCCCCGGAACCAGGUGCCCGCCGGAGGGACCAACCAAACUCUUUCUGUAGUCCCCUCGCGGACGUUAUUUUACAGCUCUGAGCAAAAAUUCAAAAUGAAUCAAAACUUUCAACAACGGAUCUCUUGGUUCUG